rnacentral:rRNA from 1 species
AGGUUGAUCCCGCCGGAGACCAUCGCUAUCCGAGUUCGACUUCGACAUGCGAGCUGCGAGGGGUAAGCCACUUCAGCGAACUGCUCCGUAAUACACAGUCAAUCUACCCUUAGGAGGAGACGAAUCUUGGGAAACUGAGGCUAAUGUUCCAUAGGUGUUGGAUACUGGAAUGUUCUGACACUCAAAGGCGCAAGCUGCCUAAGGAUGGGAUUGUGUGAUAUCAGGCUGUUGUUGGUGUAAAGAAAAUACAACGUUAUAAAACCAACAAACCGAUAACGUCUAGGGGUUAUGGAAGUGAGUACCCCGAGAAAGAUUCCGAGACAUGAAUCUUGGUACUACGGUACGCAGCAGUUACGAAAACUUUGCAAUGCGCUAACGCGCGACAAGGGGACUUGGAGUGUUCUUGCAUUGCAAGAACUUUUACUAUCUGAAAACGGGAUAGGGAAUAAAGAGUGGGUAAGACGGGUGCCAGCCACCACGGUAAUACCCGCGCUCUGAGUGAUGGUCACGAUUAUUUGGUCUAAAGCAUCCGAAGCGGGUUUAGUAAGUCCUUGGUGAAAUCUUACAGCAAACUGUAAGGCUUGCUGAGGAUACUGCC